CACACCUUACUGUAUCCUUAGAGUAUGAGGUUUGACUGAACACUAAAACUUUCUGCUAUGUUGAUAACACCAAGUUUAAUUUCAUUGUUUCUCUUUCAUGCAAAGUUACCCAAACUCUUAGUGUUUAAAAAUUAUUAAGUUAAACUAUAAUUCCAUCUCAAAAAAUCAUCCUCCUGAAGAGUAUGUCAAAAGCAUAAAAGUACGGUUGGGGGAGAGACAAGCACAGCUGUACACUGAGUUCCUCUUAGAGGGGGACAAAAUGAGGUCAUGAGCAAUGCUGCUUCCACAGCCCGGGGAACCCCGAUAGCUGGUCUGUUUCUCAUUAUGGAAAACAUGCCAUUGCUUUAUUCCUAUUUCAUUGCAAUGUGUAUGAGCAUCUUGAAGUUUUUUCCACCAGAAGUUUCUGGAAAAGGAUGCCACUCAGAAGGGAAUUUUGCAUUCUUCUCCUUCUCUUCACUCACGUGACACUAGGUCUGCCAGCCUAGGUUAUAUGUGUGUUCAUUUAAUCAUUUUGACCCAUGCCAGCACCUGUGUUGGAACACAGGGAAGAGUAAAGUAAUGUCGUUGGAAUGCACAAAGCAGUUAGUGCCACGGAGUCUUAGAGGAUGGAGAAUCCGUUGCCUCGUCCUCAGAAAAGUCAUGAUUUACCACUUUCAUCUUCAGUAAUGUCCCCCAUCGCCUACCUCAGCUCUAAACCAAAGAAGAUGUGCAUCUAAAACAAACCCUUGAGUGUGAGCAUGGGGGCAAGGUGGAGCUGGGGACAGAGGAGGACAAAUAAGGGUCAGAUGAGAAUUGGCCCAUUAGGAAGAAUUUUGGAUUUCUGCCUAUCUUUUUUUCCACCUAACAGUGGUGGAAAUAUUCUCUUGCAUUAAUAGCUUGUUAGUUUUUUUGUAUUCUAAUAAUAUUGGACUAUGUUUUUUUAACGCAGUGGUGUUUACUUGAGAAGUAACACCACUUAUAAAAUAAUCAAGCACAUGAGUUAGCCAUCCUCAUUGGUCCAAAGAAGAAAUUCACAUUUGCUUUCCACGUAUGCUUACAAUGUCCACAUUUAAGAGUGUCAGAGAUACACAAUAGUGCAGAGAAUGCUGCUGGCAGAUAAACAGAAAAAUAUAUAUGUAUCCUCCUUCAGAAGGGAGGGCCAGAUUCAAAUUUCCCAGGGUGAUCUUUGAAGACUCAGUUGACCUCCUUGUGUCGCAGUGUCUUGGUUUCCCAGGGUUGGUGAAAGUUUUCUCUUCCUUAACUUAUUAACAACAUAGUACUAAACAUAUUUGACAGAUCUUCAUUUUUGGAAGGCAAUGUAAAAAAAGUCAUAUUGUAUGAUUAUUUUUAUUUGCUAAUAAAUUUGUAAAUAAACUUAGAAAUGUAGACAGUGUACAUUUGUGGCCCACUGAUAAUUUAUAAGGAUUUUGCAUGUGUUAUCUAAUUUAAAUGUUUCUUUCCUUUUUUCUUUUCUCACUAUGUCACCCUUGGUAGAGUACUAUGAUGUCACAGCUCACAGCAACCUCUAACUCUUGGGCUUAAGUGAUUCUCUUGCCUCAGCCUCCCCCAGUAGCUGGGACUACAGGUGCCUGCCACAAUGCCCGGCUAUUUUUUUUUUGCUUGUAGUUGUCAUUGUUGUUUGGCAGGCCCAGGCUGGGUUCAAACCCACUAGCUCCAUUAUGUGUGGCUGGCGCUCCAGCCGCUGAGCUACAGGUGCAAAGCCUAAUUUAAAUGUUUCUAAAGCUAAAGAAUUCAGGUUGUUUUUCUAAUCUGAUAUAUGAGAAAUUUGAGGCUCUGGAAAGGUCUAUCUCCCGACCAUGGGUUUAGUGACAGGGCAAAUGCCACAGUCCAGGUCUUCUGACCCCAUGGUAACUGAGUGCUCUUGCUGUGAACUGACUGCAACUUCACUGUUACUAACUAGAGGAAUGUGGUGGUAAUCAUUAAUUAAUUAGUUACUUUAACAAAUGCAAAUUAAGUACUUACCAGGUGGCAGGCACGGAGGCAGGGUGGGGGAGAAACACUGGUGGCACUGGCUUGGGUUGGACAUCUUUUGGCUCUAUGAUGUUAAGAUGCUACGCAGGGCUUGAAAUGGUUUAAGUCUGCAUUCUCCUCUUCUCCACUGAGUCACACCCGUGGCUGAUCCACCCAGAAGUUCCUCCCCUGUAAUCAGAUGGUGGCAGCAGAAAGUUGUAGAACAUGACUGUGGGGAAACUGCUGUUCUGAGGCUGCCCAAGAAGUGCUGUGGUUGUUUGAUCUCCUGUGUCGAGUCGAGGCUGGCGGGAACACCCAGGACCGUAGUUCAGGUCCCCGCCCUCCGGGAUGGAAACAAAUAGGACUUUAUCUACUUCUUUCCCUCUCGCCCCCACCCUCUCCACUGCGCCCGCCCACAGUCUUGUAAGUCCCCUCUGAGAAACUGGGCGGGGGCCUUCCCCAUCCCCGGUGCCCGCGGGGCCCCCCACGCUCAGACGAGGACACCGGCUCGCGGGGGUUCAGGCUGCAGUCGCGGAGCUCGAGCCGAAGAGUAAACUUUGCAGGUCUGGUGACGCCAGAGACGCUUCCGUGGGUCGAGUUGUCAGGGCGCGCGGGAGGAGCGGCGGGUAAAUAUUUGGGGUUGUAACCCAGGCUCCGGCGACUCCGCGUCACUGCGGUUCGCGGGCGGGCGCGUGGCGAAGGCGGGGCCUCGGGGACAGGAGCGUCCUCGGAGGGCGGCGGGGACGAACU